CCUUAACUCUUUGCUUUUUCAUCUCUUUUCUCCUAUGGAAGUGCUUCUAUUGGCUAGAUUAGAUUUGGUCCAAUGGUGACUAGGUGUGCAUGAUUUAGUAUUUCAGAAGUGAUUGUUUGCCUAUGAUGUUCUUGCUUUUUCUCCCUCAAUUACUACUCUAACUCCAGCUCUAGAGUGAUUGGCGAAGCUACUAUGUGGUCAUAUUGGUUUUCUUGUUUCUGUGGACAAUAAAUUUCAAUGGUUUUGCUGGGUUGGUGGUGGUUUUCCUAAGGUUAGGUUUGAGUUAAGAUUACUGUUUGGGAUUGGUUUGGG
rnacentral:misc_RNA from 1 species